UUGUCAGUAUUCCCCUAUCCACUCUUCGUCCCUUCACCAUGAAGCUGAUGUCUGUGCUGGUGGCCUUGCUGGUGUCUCUGUUAGCGCUGGUUCAAGUAAGCUGGACGAUGCCCGCCCCUGACGCCGCCGCCGAACCUAUCGACAGCAUAUCCCUGAAGCGAUACUUAGUUUAUCGUAAACUCACCGCGCCUGAACUCGCCCGUCGCUUCCAGAAGACAACCUUCAACGCAGUGACGGUGCGGCGGCGCCCCGCGCGUAAUGGACCCGGCCCAUUACGCAAGCUGAAUGGAUAGUCUUAGUGACACUGCCCACACCACUGUUCUGCUUGUAGUGCUAUUGAGAGGAAUGUGCUGCCCCGACCCUCUUCUAGUGUGUCGGUGGCCCUCACCUGUGACAUGACGGCACUGCUACUCUGAGGCCCUCUAGUAUGCAUGUGUGUGUGUGUGAUGAACUCCAGCGUACCUGAGUAUACAUGUGUUUAUGUUUGCAUAGUUUCAUCAACCUGUUCAUGGAUGGAAACAACUCGACAAAUAAUAAUUGAUGCUUCGGUUUACUAUCACUGUUUGCCUAACACACAUUCACACGUCAUGUUUUGUCACGAGCUGUGGUGAAACCUGCAUGGCAAAUGACACCAAAUAAGGAUUUUACAAUGAUUGUAAUGUAAUAAGACUUAACAUAU